UAUGUCCUUCUUUGCACAGCACAACCUUCUCCGAGGCUUAUCUACCUAUUGCUACACUCAGAUGAGCUAUGCUGGACAGAUCUUCAACUGGACUGGAGCGCACUCUUUCCACUUUUGGAAAAUCAUUUCUUGAGCCAGCAGGGAACAGAGUGCUUCAGAGUAGAUGAGUAAUGAGAAGCUUUGACAAUGAAGAGUUUGAGGCUGGGAGAAGUAAUGACACCACCCUGGCUUCUCUCAGAGAUUCCCUCUCCUACUUUGUAGUUCUCCAUCUCUGGAACUAUACAGAUGUAUUUCUGAUCUUACACAUCUUUCAACUGAAAGCAACAUUGGGUGGAUCUCACUUUGUGCUAGGUGAGUGCUAGCCUUCCUCUCACACUCUUCAUCUACCUUUGCUGAAGACUUGCUCAUGUACAUUUAAGAUACAGCUGUGUUUUCUUUCCGAACAUACAUUUGCUUUUCCAGAACUCUUGCUCUCAGCUGCCUAUUCAAGAUUCUGGUUUGUGGAACCCUUUGUAAAUGGAGAUCCUAGCACAAAACAGUUCAAAUCUCAAGACUUCUAUUCAUCUUAAAAGAAGUACUGCUGUCUUGGGUGGAAUUCUCAUAAAAAAGAACCAGUAAUAAGCCCUUCUGGUUGUUGUUGUUGUUUUUUUUUUUUUAACAAUCCAGACUGAAAGCAGUAGGAAUUUAGUGAAUGGAAAUCAGAAGCCAAUGCAUGUUGAAAUACAACACUGGAUAGAUUAAAUGGCCAGUUUUAAUC